rnacentral:lncRNA from 1 species
UUAUACAAUAGGGUAAAUACGAAAAGGUGUUACAUGGCUAUAUAUAUUUAACUCUAACAGUCCUUGGAAGCAAGCUCUCUUUGAGAACUUAAACUCCACAUGGAACUCUAUCUACAAGACUAUGGAGAUGACUCUGGAAAACUCUUCUGCAAAGAACAAGGGUAGUAAAAUCAAAUAUAAAUUGUACAAAGGCCAACUCAGUUCUGAAAUCUAAAAUUGGCUAACCAACUUGGUUUUGGAUUCUGGACAAGCCCGAGUGCAAGCCAAGAGAAACUCAAACAAGUUGGCUCCUCUAACUUGGACCUGUUAUUAACCCAAAAUCCAAAACCAAGACAGUUCACCAGAUCCCAGCCACAAAGCCAAAGAAGAAUCGAACUUAAAGGACCCAAAGAUCAGAAUAGCACAGAACAAUAUGGCAACUAGCAAAACCACUUGGUAACUUAAACCACUUGCAUAGGAUAGGUCUCAAAUAGAGUUAAAGGUAACAAAGACAGAGUCAUAGAUAUCCUGGCUACUACGAACUGAACAAGAUAACUACGAGCAACAGGCUCCACGGCAAAACAGAGUCAUCGCCAUCUCAGGCUCUCUCACACACAGCUCCCUCCACAGGAGCUCAGCAGUAGAACAUGACGUCCUUGAUGUUGUCCUUGAUCUUUGGGAGGUGGCGCACCUCCACAGGGCCCUCGUGCGCAAUCGCCGCCUGCCCAGGGGUCGACCCGCCGUCCGAGCUGUCCCCUUCCACGUAGUAGCGCGCGCAGAAUGCGGCGAGAUGGGCAUAGUACGCCGGUGGGACUGCAUAGCAAGUUCAGCCAAGUUAGCUUCUUCUGGAAGUAAAUGCCACAGCAGGUUGUGAAAACAGAACGACAGCUAGGUUACCAAGUCUUAAAACAGCAAGGGGGAAAGAUGCUGUGUUGUUCAUUUCAAUGUAAACAUAGAUGACACAGAACAAAGGAAUGGAAACUACUCAGUGUGUUCAUCAAUAAACUAGCAGAGGAAUGCAAACUACUUAGUGUAUUCAUGAAUAAACUGGCAAAGGAAUGAAAACUACUCUGUGUAUUCAUCAAUAAACUAAGGUUCAUUUUGCCAGGAGUGCAUGCUUAUUUAGAGUUGCAGACCAAAGGCUCUAGAGCACAGAUCCAUUAAGGAGUUAAAGGAACCACCAGUGCGGUUGGAUUGCUAACUUGCAUCAGAGAAGGCACACGCAGGUGGGUACAAGGUAAUACGAAUGCCGAAUUACUACAAGUCUACAGCUGCUAGGACUGUCAGGAUAAGCAAAACAUACGAUAGCAGAGGCAUAAGGCAGAUGCGCCCAGGCUACUAGUAUUAAUGCCCACAGAAGAAUGCUCUACUGGAGAGAAAAAGCACACAGAUGAAAGUUGAAGCAAAUUAAGGUAGAAAACUGAAGAAGCGAACUCACCAACAGAGACCGCACGAGUGCAACGAGCAUAGCUGCAUAUGGAUCAGAAUUUAAACCAUCAUCAGAGUCAUAACACAACAGAGAGAGGAAGAGAGAGGGGAAGAGACAGAAAGAGAGAGGAUUACGUGUAGCAGAGAUUGUUGGUCAGUUACUGAAGCGCAUCGGCUGUGAAGUGAUUCUCAUCAUAAAGAACAUGGUAGUGUGUUGGCCUGCUAGUUCCCUGAGGAGCAUUUUGCAAACACACUCAGCAUGCAAGCACUGAAGAUAAGCUGCAUAGGAACAAAUGGACAUGUGGACAAAGCGUCUACCUUAAUGCCAGCAUGGCUGCACAAGUAGAAAUCAAACUCUGUAGGGUGGCAAAUCAUGAGGUCAACCACAGUUCCUGCAGGACAACAGAAACAGAUAUGCACCCAAUCACAGUCAGCGAUGCUUCAACAAGUAGCAGAUAGUUGUAACCGGUGAGAUUGAAAGACCAGUGUAUCUGCUAACCUGGAAGUAUGUUCCCACUCUUGUCAGUCAUAUCACGCCUCCCAUGAACCUCAGGGAACAGCCUGGUGUGAUGCCUUUUCUGGACAACCACAAAGGUGACUGGGGGCAUAUACCCCUCCAAUGAGGCGCAGGCCUUGCAACAGCAAAAUUAAGAACCAUCAGAAUGAGAAAAGCCAAGAAUGUAAACAAAACAGAAAUUUGCAUGUAAUCAUAUGAUGCAGGCUUACCUUCCUGAUUGCGUCCAUUUCAUGAAGCAGAACAUGGCUGAAUUGGCCUUCGCUUGCGCCAUCCCUGUACAUGAGAAUAAUCGGUCAGGCAGUUCCAUUGAAUGGACAGGAUGAAAAGAGUGUCAUGAAUUUGUGCACACACCUGUAGAAGAGUAUCCUCUCAGGCCUCCGGCCUGUCUUUCUGCGGAAGGCAAUCAGUAACUCCCUGUAGAGACAAUUAUGUCAGGUUAGCAGUUGAUCCACAGGGCAAUAGCUACCAAUCGUCUCUGACUAAUCACAAAACUCACCUGAUCAUGCCACCAUUGCCAUUACCCCUCUGCGGAUCUUUGGUGACACUGAAGAGGUCUUCGAUUAUCUCCUGCCUGUGUGGUUGAGCAGAGACAAGACAUCUGUACUUGGUGAUCUCUGGCCAGUCCAUUGAUGCCACCACCUACAUCAAUCCAAUAUGUGCAUCAAGACGAUAAUUCCAUUUAAAAGAUAAAAUCAGACAGAAACAAAUAACGAAUUGACAAACAGUUAGCUAUGGGGAAGAACUAACCGCAGCAAUAGAUGAUGCAGAGUCCUCUCCAGGUGGGGGGUGCGUAACAUCAGCACCAAUUCAUGGCUGACCAAUUUGGAUCUGAAGCCCAAGUGCAAGCCAAGAGAAACUGAAACAAGUUGCUCCUCUGACUUGGACCUGUUACAAACCCAAAAUCCAGAACCAAAAUAGUUCACCAGAUCCCAGCCACAAAGCCGAAGAAGAAUCUAACUUUAAGAACCCAAAGAUCAGAAUAGCACACAACAAUAUGGCAACUAGCAAAACCACUUGGUAACUUAAACCACUUGCAUAGGAUAGGUCUCAAAUAGAGUUAAAGGUAACAAAGACAGAGUCAUAGAUAUCCUGGCUACUACGAACUGAACAAGAUAACUACGAGCAACAGGCUCCACGGCAAAACAGAGUCAUCGGCAUCUCAUGCUCUCUCACACACAACUCAGGCUAGGGUAGCUCGCACAAAGAACAGCUCCAUGGGAGCUCAGCAGUAGAACAAGACGUCCUUGACGUUCUCCUUGAUCUGGGCAUAGGGUAUACUGUCAGCGAUUUACUGCAAGGCCUUCUUGAUCGGGACACGCUUCUUCAAGAGCCCCCGAAUAACCUCCGCAACAAAACUUCUUAAGAACAUAGUAAUCUCGUGGUCACUCAAGUGAAAUGGAG